rnacentral:tRNA from 1 species
GGGGUGUUCGCUCAGAGGAAGAGCAGUCGGCUUCUAACCGACACCACGGGGGUUCGAAUCCUCCACACCCUGCC